UACAGGGGGUGCAAACGUUGCUCGGAAUUAUUGGGCGUAAAGGGCUCGUAGGCGGUCUGUCGCGUCGGCUGUGAAACCCCGAGGCUCAACCUCGGCCUGCAGUCGAUACGGGCAGACUAGAGUGCGGUAGGGGAGACUGGAAUUCCUGGUGUAGCGGUGAAAUGCGGCAGAUAGUCAGGAGGAACACCGGUGGCGAAGGCGGGUCUCUGGGC
rnacentral:rRNA from 1 species